rnacentral:lncRNA from 1 species
GGAAAUCGAAAUGGCUACGGAAAAGCUGCGAAAGAUGAUUAACAUGCUGGAAGCAAAAGGCAAAGUUUACGGAAUUUGUAGGGUUUGACGCCCACGGUCCUUUUCGUUUGAGGCCCGAAGUCUCGUCCGGGCGACACUCGCGAUGUACGAAGUUUGGUGAAGCCUUGCCAUAAGACCUACUUAGGAAGAUCCUAUUCGAACACCAAAACUGCGAAAAAAAUAUAUUGAUGUCUAUUAUUAUAACGAAGUUUUGUGAAGCCUUGCCAUAAGACUUACUUAGGAAGAUCCAAUUCUAACACCAAAACUGCGAAAAAUAUAUUGAUGUCUCUUAUUAUAAAACUUAAAAGUUUCACACCAAAACUGCAAAUUAUUAUAAAACUUAAAAGUUUCACACCAAAACUGCAAAAAAUAUAUUGAUGUCUCUUAUUAUAAAACUUGAAGCCUUGCCAUAAGACCUACUUAGGAAGAUCCUAUUCGAACACCAAAACUGCGAAAAAUAUAUUGAUGUCUCUUAUUAUAACGAAGUUUUGUGAAGCCUUGCCAUAAGACCUACUUAGGAAGAUCCAAUUCUAACACCAAAACUGCGAAAAAUAUAUUGAUGUCUCUUAUUAUAAAACUUAAAAGUUUCACACCAAAACUGCGAAAAAUAUAUUGAUGUCUCGUAUUAUAAAACUUGAAGCCUUGCCAUAAGACCUACUUAGGAAGAUCCUAUUCGAACACCAAAACUGCGAAA